rnacentral:rRNA from 1 species
GCUGAAAGCAUCUAAGCAUGAAGCCCCCCUCAAGAUGAGAUUUCCCAACUUCGGUUAUAAGAUCCCUCACAGAUGAUGAGGUUAAUAGGUUCGAGGUGGAAGCAUGGYGACAUGUGGAGCUGACGAAUACUAAUCGAUCGAAGACUUAAUCAAAA